rnacentral:rRNA from 1 species
UACGUAGGGACCAAGCGUUGUUCGGAUUUACUGGGCGUAAAGGGCGCGUAGGCGGCUACGCACGUCCGUUGUGAAAUCGCUCGGCUCAACUGGGCGGGGUCAGCGGAUACGGUGUAGCUGGAGCAAGCUAGGGGGCAAUGGAAUUCCCGGUGUAGUGGUGGAAUGCGUAGAUAUCGGGAGGAACACCAGUGGCGAAGGCGGUUGCCUGGAGCUUUGCUGACGCUGAGGCGCGAAAGCGUGGGGAGCGAGUCCGG